GCGUGUACCUGUACCCCCAGCAGGUAUUGAAUGAUGUGCGUGUACCUGUACCCCCAGCAGGUAUUGAAUGAUGUGUGUGUACCUGUACCCCCAGCAGGUAUUGAAUGAUGUGUGUGUACCUGUACCCCCAGCAGGUAUUGAAUGAUGUGUGUGUACCUGUACCCCCAGCAGGUAUUGAAUGAUAUGCGUGUACCUGUACCCCCAGCAGGUAUUGAAUGAUGUGUGUGUACCUGUAUCCCCAGCAGGUAUUGAAUGAUGUGUGUGUACCUGUACCCCCAGCAGGUAUUGAAUGAUGUGUGUGUACCUGUAUCCCCAGCAGGUAUUGAAUGAUGUGUGUGUACCUGUAUCCCCAGCAGGUAUUGAAUGAUGUGUGUGUACCUGUACCCCCAGCAGGUAUUGAAUGAUGUGUGUGUACCUGUACCCCCAGCAGGUAUUGAAUGAUGUGUGUGUACCUGUACCCCCAGCAGGUAUUGAAUGAUGUGUGUGUACCUGUACCCCCAGCAGGUAUUGAAUGAUGUGUGUGUACCUGUACCCCCAGCAGGUAUUGAAUGAUGUGUGUGUACCUGUACCCCCAGCAGGUAUUGAAUGAUGUGUGUGUACCUGUACCCCCAGCAGGUAUUGAAUGAUGUGUGUGUACCUGUACCCCCAGCAGGUAUUGAAUGAUGUGUGUGUACCUGUACCCCCAGCAGGUAUUGAAUGAUGUGUGUGUACCUGUACCCCCAGCAGGUAUUGAAUGAUGUGUGUGUACCUGUACCCCCAGCAGGUAUUGAAUGAUGUGUGUGUA